rnacentral:rRNA from 1 species
AUUGAACGCUGGCGGCAGGCCUAACACAUGCAAGUCGAGCGGAGCGGCGGACGGGUGAGUAAUGCCUACGAAUCUGCCUGGUAGUGGGGGAUAACGUCCGGAAACGGGCGCUAAUCCCGCAUACUUUCAGAUGACCCUAGGGCGGAUUAGCUCGUUGGUUGGGUAAAGGCCUACCAAGGCAACGAUCCGUAACAGGUCUGAGAGGCUGAUCAGUCACACUGGAACUGAGACACGGUCCAGACUCCGAAGGGAGGCAGCAGUGGGGAAUAUUGGACAAUGGGCGAAAGCCUGAUCCAGCCAUGCCGCGUGUGUGAAGAAGGUCUUCGGAUUGUAAAGCACUUUAAGUUGGGAGGCGUUACCAACAGAAUAAGCACCGGCUAACUUCGUGCCAGCAGCCGCGGUAAUUC